AUUGAACGCUGGCGGCAGGCCUAACACAUGCAAGUCGAGCGAGCGGCGGACGGGUGAGUGAUGUGUGGGGGAAUGCCUGAUAUGGAGGGGUAACUCCAGUAAACGGUAGCUACAACCGCAUACGCUCAGAUGUGCCCAGAUGGGAGUAGCUAGUAGGUGGGGUAACGGCUCACCUAGACGACGAUCCCUAGCUGGUCUGAGAAGAUGACCAGCCACACUGGAACUGAGACACGGUCCAGACUCCUACGGGAGGCAGCAGUGGGGAAUAUUGCACAAUGGGCGCAAGCCUGAUGCAGCCAUGCCGCGUGUGUGAAGAAGGCCUUCGGGUUGUAAAGCACUUUCAGCGGGGAGGCGUUACCCGCAGAAGAAGCACCGGCUAACUCCGUGCCAGCAGCCGCGGUAAUUC
rnacentral:rRNA from 1 species